rnacentral:rRNA from 1 species
AAUCAACGCUGGCGGCGUGCCUCAGACAUGCAAGUCGAACGCGAAAGUCCCCUUCGGGGACGAAGUAGAGUGGCGCACGGGUGAGUAACACGUAGGUAAUCUACCUUCGGAUGGGGAAUAACAAACCGGAAACGGUUGCUAAUACCGCAUAAUGCAGCGGCACCUAAUGGUGACAGUUGUUAAAGCGGGGGAGUCGAAAGACCUCGCGU